CUUCUGUCCUUUAUAUUGCCCCCGUCUGCUUUUCCAGACUUUUCCAUCCCCCACAUCUCCGUACAGUGCAACGGCAGAUCAGAGGUGCCACGUGUAGAAUGGGCAGCUGUCCCGCUUCAUAUCCAACUGCGCAGUAGUAACCAUUGUUAUUACUGUUGUUGUCAUCGUCGUCAUUGUUGUUCUCUGUCCCACAUGUUGAGGUAAUCUCCCAAAUUUUGCUCUAGUUUGCAAAGGUCAGAAGUGCAGAACAGACACUUUUCUAAUUCUUGUGAAGAAAGUCGGUAAGGCUGAGAUCAUGACUGAUGUUUAAGCGAACAAUGCUGCCUAUGCUAUAUCCAACAAGGCAAACUGUAUAUAGAUAUUGUUAUAUUCCCUCUGUGUGGCACAAAAAGAAGUGUUCUAUGUAUAUCUCUGACUGUAACCCCAGGAAAAUACAGUAAAAUCAAAUGUAUUUAUAUUUGCUAUAGUUAACUUUAUUCACUCUAUCUCUUGUCUUAUUUCUCUUCUCUGGGUUUCCUCUUUUUUUUUCCUUUCUGUAAACGUGUGUGUGAUUGACUACGUGUGCACCUCCUCUCCCAGUUCAGUCCAGUGUUCCAUACUGGGGUUGUGUGCAGGCUGAGGAGGCAGAGCAAAGCAGCGCUGUUACCCAUUCCACCCUCAGCUUCAGCGCGGCUGAGGGGUGGAAGAAGUCCCUGCUACAGAUAAGCCAAACAACCUGUGUGGCCCAGUGCUAGGACCACUGACUGCACGCAGUUUCAUAUAAAUUUGUUAAAGUUUUGUGAGAAAGCAGGCAGUAUGUCUGCUCUUGUGUGGGUGAGGUUUUUUUUUGCAUGCUUGUUUUUUUGAUCUGUCAUGUCAAAACCAGAUAAGGGUCUGUAAUUGCCAUUAAACAGUUGGCAGCUGGUGGCCUAGAAACUGAAACUUGUGCCUAAACUCACAAUUGUUUUGUUUUGCUCACUUGUGCUUGUCUAGGUCCUCUGUGUGUAUUACCUGCCGAAAGAUGGCGCUAAACGACAGGAAGACAAAAGCUGACGUCAUCAUUCGUUGAAGGUCAACAGAGAAGCUGUGGGAAACUGUCACUGCAAAUCAGUCCUGUUAACAGCUAUAUUAAACAUGACAAUCAAAAAGGGUGAUUUUAAAACAUUUUCUCAGGUGAAACAGUACAAUAAGCCACACCUGCUUUUACUGCACUGAAGUUUUUACUGAUUUCAGUGGAGCACAGCUGAAAUUAGCAUAAAAGGCCAAGCGAUUAUGCAAGUGUCCUAAAUUGUGUAAUGAUUUAUCAAAUGUUUCAACUUUGUACAGAGUUUUUGUUUUUAAAUAGAAAGACAAUUAUUUUUGUAGCACAUUUUAAAUAAUAAGAAGCACAGAUCAAAUUUUUUAUACUCUUUGAACAAUGUUCAGUGUUCAGCCUUAAGCAAGGAAAAUACGGAGUUGUCGUCUGAAUGUGAUACACACUUAAUUAAAGUUAUCAUUUUUUCCACUGUAACAUAUUGUCAUAAGUGUUUGUACUGUGAAGAUUAACAGUGUUACAAGGUCCUCUGCUGUAGACCUACUUUACUGUAUGUAGUUCAAAGUGUCUGCGUCUCAAGAGUGUUCCAGCAGACACAGCACCAGGGUCCAGGUUUGCAAAGCUAUUUUAACCCAGUCUUAAUUUUGUUAUUGCACAAGUGUAGCUGAGCAAAGGUGCAUGACUUUAAGGCAAAAAAAAAAAAAAACCUCACCCUUUUGCCAGCCAAACUGAGCUGUAUUUCCAUGUAAACAACUAGUGUCACAUGGUCACCAGCUUUUCAUGUUUCCGUCAGUGACCGCUUCAGCAAAUGACUAAACAUGCAACAUAGGAUUGAGGCUCAUUCUAUACGGAUCACUUAAGCCCUGUCUACA